rnacentral:SRP_RNA from 1 species
ACAGGGCUGGCCAUGGGCGAUUCGUUUGUAAACCCGGUCAGAUUCGGAAGAAAGCAGCCGUAGCAAUUUUGUUUCGGGUCAUGUGUCAGUCCGUCUCU